rnacentral:rRNA from 1 species
UGGCGGACGGGUGAGUAACACGUGGGCAACCUGCCCAAAAGAGGGGGAUAACACUUGGAAACAGGUGCUAAUACCGCAUAACCAUAGUUACCGCAUGGUAACUAUGUAAAAGGUGGCUAUGCUACCGCUUUUGGAUGGGCCCGCGGCGCAUUAGCUAGUUGGUGGGGUAAAGGCUUACCAAGGCAAUGAUGCGUAGCCGAACUGAGAGGUUGAUCGGCCACAUUGGGACUGAGACACGGCCCAAACUCCUACGGGAGGCAGCAG